CAACAAGUUGGAAUGGUUUUGGCACACUUCCUUAUUCGAACAGUAAACAACCAUCAUUGCUACCACAAAUUUGUGGAAACUCAACGUACGGGAACUACACCAGGUUUCAAGCUUCUUCAGCUAUUUCCCAACUCCCCGCUUUUCCUCCAACACCAGACAGUGGAAACGCGCCCGCAAUGUUUUCGUUUUUUGGUGUCACGCCAGCAGCAGAGCAGGGCAGCAAUGUCACACCAUCUUCAGUUGUGUGCCUCGCAUCACGUUCUUGCAAUGCAGAAAACAAACGUUUAAUUGCGAAUGGUGCAAACGGUCCAUUACCGAGUAUUUCAGCGCUAACAACAUGUUGGGACAAUGUUGGGACAUUUCCAUACUUUGACAAUCGUGGAAACUCAUGGUGUGGAAACUAUUCGAGAUUUCAAGUUCCUCCAGUUAUGAACCAGCACCUCGCUCUUCCACCCGCAACCCCGAGUAAUGGACGUUGUGGUGCCCCUCCGGUCAUUACGUUUCCAGCGCCAAAUAUGAUGCCAGUUAUGAGAGCGAAUAGUUUCGUCGAGCCAGGCAAAAAGACACAAAGUUUGGAGCAAAUCGACCGUUUCCCUGCAUAUUUACCUUCUCAAAGUAACUAUGAGCUUAUAAUGAUUUGUGCUAUCGAAAUAUUAGUUCAGCUAAUAUUCGCACCUUUUUGAAAAUUAUGUAAACUUUUUCUCGAAUCUUGAUUAACUGAUAAUUCUCAAUCAUAAUGAAAAAUACGUGUUCAAUAUUCUUUACUGGUAAAUUAUGUUGAACGCUUUGGGACCCGCCGAAAACGCGAAUGUGAUUCUCUUUAUAGCUUAGUAGCAACGGGGAAUUUUUAUUUCUAUAAUUUUACUGAUGGUUGUAUUCUAAACAUUCACCGCUUUGCUUUAAUUCGCUUUACAGGCAUAUCCAGAAUGGUCACAUCAGACGCCAUCCCUCGAAAUUUAGCAAUUCCUCGUUAUUUUCAUCUGGCAAAUCCUCACAGUAAGACAUGUUGAUUACUAUUGCGCGAUGUGACUAUUAAUAAACUCGAAAUCCUUUCCAGCUAAGGCGUCAUCCCCAAAUCUAUUAAGUGCCUUUGUACGAAACCCCGAAGCUCUCGUUAAAUUUCCUGGAAUUCCAUCGAAUCACACCGCUAUUUCUAAUAAACUACAAAAACAUGCAGUCCUGCAACUAUGAAGCCAACCCCGAAAGUAGGCCGGCGUUUUCGGCCGAAACCGCAAUCA